UGGGGAAUAUUGCACAAUGGGCGCAAGCCUGAUGCAGCAAUGCCGCGUGUGUGAAGAAGGCCUGCGGGUUGUAAAGCACUUUUAUUGGGAAAAGAAAAACCCGGAGCUAAUACCUCCGGCAUUGACGGUACCC
rnacentral:rRNA from 1 species